UACGUAGGGCGCAAGCGUUGUCCGGAAUUAUUGGGCGUAAAGAGCUCGUAGGCGGCUUGUCGCGUCGGAUGUGAAAGCCCGGGGCUUAACCCCGGGUCUGCAUUCGAUACGGGCAGGCUAGAGUUCGGUAGGGGAGAUCGGAAUUCCUGGUGUAGCGGUGAAAUGCGCAGAUAUCAGGAGGAACACCGGUGGCGAAGGCGGAUCUCUGGGCCGACACUGACACUGAGAGACGAAAGCUAGGGGAGCGAAUGGG
rnacentral:rRNA from 1 species